CUGGUCUAAGGAUGUUAACUGUGUCAUAAAGAGUAUUCGUUCUGAGCCGGCUAUGGCAUAAUUAUAUAUUCCACUUAUUAUUUUCAUUUAUGAUGUCUUUGACAUAUACAAGAAUUUUUAAAACACCGUUCUUUCAAACUAUACUUGUUGUAAUCACUCAUUGGUGUAUAUGUCAUGUUGUAUAUCAAUUGUCGAAUUAAUUUGAACGUUUUUAAAAU
rnacentral:lncRNA from 1 species